rnacentral:ncRNA from 1 species
AUAAUAUUGAUUAAGGAAGAUGAGUAGCAAUUCCCUGAUGUUCCAGAGAGCCGGUGGAUGGUGUGAACCGGUGCAUUGGAUUUGUGAAUGGACUUCCCUUGAACCAGCAGCUGAAAUCGAUUUGAGAUUAGGCUCUGGCGUACGUCCCGCGUUACAGGGAUUUGCAGUCGCAGAUUUUGACUGCAGCCAGAGUGGACCGGCGAAGGCCGGUCAAUAAAGGUGGUACCACGGCUCCCCGUCCUUUUC